GCCGGUGUGACUCAGGGGUAGAGUAGCUGAUUUGUAAUCAGCCUGUCGCAGGUUCAAAUCCUGUCACCGGCU
rnacentral:tRNA from 2 species